UUAAACAUUUUCAACCCUAGCCUCCAUCUCUCAAGCCCUCACCCUCCAUCUCCAUCUCUCAAGCUCGUUAUGCUUUUGUACUUUCAUCAUCGGAUUCUGAAUCACCUUCAACAAGAAGCUAUUCUCAGAGACUCAUAUCCGAUUCUGCAAGCUCAAUUCGUUAGCUUUGUGGUGGAAUUUUAGCCUUGUUGGAGGCGGUGCAGAAGUUGAAGAUUGGAAUUUCACUACUUGGUCGGCUUUGCCAAAUCGCAUUUUUCGAUUUCAUGAAGUGGGUGGAGAUGACAAUUUUGAGGUGCAAUGUGGAGAUGUGGAACUUGAAAAGAAAAUAGAUGAGAAGAUUGAGCACUUCAUUAACUGGGUAGAAAAACACCCAAACAAGAAAAUUCAGUUGUUGAAAUAUGUGGUAGGAAGGAGGAAAAGGGUGAAGCAAUUGAUGAGGACUGAAUCUGGUCUCAAAGUCCAGCAACUAGACAUUCUGCAACAAGCAUUAAAGCUCACUGCAAACAGAUGCAGAUUUUGUAUCAGCAACACCCCAUGUAGAUAAGGGACCAAGUUCUCAAACUCAGGCAUAUAAAGGGGAGGCCCACAGCCACACCACACUUUCAAUGUCUGCUUCUAUCAACUUGUCCUCCCACUUUGGUCAUGGAGCCAAAAUAAAAGUUUUAAAUUAACUAUGAUUUGUUUUAGAAGAAAAUUAAUGGUCAGUGAGCUAUGUAUCAAAGUGCAUUUUUGUUCCUAACUUAUCAAUUGUUUUAAUUUAGUCUUUAAAAUUUUAAAACUGAAAUCUAAGGAUGAAACUGAAAUCUAUUGAUUUUGGAAGACUAGCAUAGAGCCUAAGGAUGAAACUGAAAUCUAAUGGCAUAAUUCAUAGACUAAUUAUAUUUUAAUUAAAUAAAUGAAACUAGGGAUACUUAAUCUAGGAUGGAGGAGAUCAUGAUUAAACAUAGACAUAUUGAAGUUUGCGUAUUUUUUUCAAAGACCAUCCAUGGUGAUUUAUUGAAUGAAAAUAUUUUAUCUCGCU